rnacentral:tRNA from 1 species
GUGGGUAUAGCUCAGUGGUAGAGUGCAUGCUUAGCAUGCACGAGGUCCUGGGUUCAAUCGCCCGUACCUCCA